GCACUGCUUACGAGCCCAAAACAGGACGAAACAGCUGUCCAGUAC
rnacentral:hammerhead_ribozyme from 1 species